rnacentral:rRNA from 1 species
AUUGAACGCUGGCGGCAUGCUUUACACAUGCAAGUCGAACGGUAACAGGGUGCUUGCACCGCUGACGAGUGGCGAACGGGUGAGUAAUGCAUCGGAACGUACCCAGUCGUGGGGGAUAACGUAGCGAAAGUUACGCUAAUACCGCAUACGUCCUGAGGGAGAAAGCGGGGGACCGUAAGGCCUCGCGCGAUUGGAGCGGCCGAUGUCGGAUUAGCUAGUUGGUAGGGUAAAGGCCUACCAAGGCGACGAUCCGUAGCGGGUCUGAGAGGAUGAUCCGCCACACUGGGACUGAGACACGGCCCAGACUCCUACGGGAGGCAGCAGUGGGGAAUUUUGGACAAUGGGCGAAAGCCUGAUCCAGCCAUGCCGCGUGAGUGAAGAAGGCCUUCGGGUUGUAAAGCUCUUUCAGAUGGAAAGAAAACGUACAGGUUAAUACCUUGUGCGGAUGACGGUACCAUCAGAAGAAGCACCGGCUAACUACGUGCCAGCAGCCGCGGUAAUGCGUAGGGUGCGAGCGUUAAUCGGAAUUACUGGGCGUAAAGCGUGCGCAGGCGGUUAUGUAAGACAGAUGUGAAAUCCCCGGGCUCAACCUGGGAACUGCGUUUGUGACUGCAUAACUAGAGUACGGCAGAGGGAGGUGGAAUUCCGCGUGUAGCAGUGAAAUGCGUAGAGAUGCGGAGGAACACCGAUGGCGAAGGCAGCCUCCUGGGCCAGUACUGACGCUCAUGCACGAAAGCGUGGGGAGCAAACAGG